GAAGUCUAAGGAUGGUUUGGAUAUACCCAAGUUUCCUAAGCACAUGCUCAGACAAGUGAUGACACUUCAUGUUACCUCCGCAUCUAAUCCAGCCAGAGUACCAACAUAUUUCCUCCAAUGGACGAGCCAGACAAUUGUAUUCAUAGGGAGAAAACCAAUAAUCUUAGACCUCCAACGGAUCCAAUGUAUUCAUGUAUGUUUCUG
rnacentral:lncRNA from 1 species